rnacentral:rRNA from 1 species
UGAGACAGGUGCUGCAUGGCUGUCGUCAGCUCGUGUUGUGAAAUGUUGGGUUAAGUCCCGCAACGAGCGCAACCCUUAUCCUUUGUUGCCAGCGGUUAGGCCGGGAACUCAAAGGAGACUGCCAGUGAUAAACUGGAGGAAGGUGGGGAUGACGUCAAGUCAUCAUGGCCCUUACGAGUAGGGCUACACACGUGCUACAAUGGCGCAUACAAAGAGAAGCGACCUCGCGAGAGCAAGCGGACCUCAUAAAGUGCGUCGUAGUCCGGAUUGGAGUCUGCAACUCGACUCCAUGAAGUCGGAAUCGCUAGUAAUCGUGGAUCAGAAUGCCACCGGUGAAUACGUUCCCGGGCCUUGUACACACCGCCCGUCACACCAUGGGAGUGGGUUGCAAAAGAAGUAGGUAGCUUAACCUUCGGGAGGGCGCUUACCACUUUGUGAUUCAUGAGC